UUCUGCUCAAUGGAACCUCUAAAUAGCCGCAGUACUCUGACUGUGCAAAGGUAGCAUAAUCAAUUGGCCUCUAAUUAAGGUCUGGAAUGAACGAACCCAUGGGUAGCAACUGUCUUAAAAUAUUUAUUUAAAUUAAUUAACAAGUGCAAAUGCUUGUAUAAUUCAAUAAGACGAGAAGACCCUAGAAACUUAUUAUAAUUUUGUUGGGGCGACAGAAUUACAUAAAACUAAUUUUAUAUUACGGGACGUAAGGCAGGAAGAUUAAGUUACUCUAGGGAUAACAGCAUAAUUUUAAUUAGUUUGUGACCUCGAUGUUGGACUAGGUAGAAAUUUUUUUAGAAGAAAACUUUCUUUGCUCUGUUCGAGCAUGAUUAACCUACGUGAUCUGAGUUCAGACCGGA
rnacentral:rRNA from 1 species